rnacentral:lncRNA from 1 species
AAAGAAUGAAUCACAUGAUGAUGGCAAGUUAAUUUUAUGAUGUCCCUAAAAUUAAAUCAUAAGCAGAACCAUGUUUUUCACAGGUGAAAGUUGCUCUUGGUAAUCCACUUGUCUCUUAGUAAAAGAGCCCACAUUCCCUGCUCGACAAGGGUCCUCUUCUGUUGCCAACGUGAAGUGUUUCCCUGAAUGCUUUAGUGCUGCUGUCUUGCCAACCGCCCGUCCUCAGAGCAGCUGCUCAUUUGAAGGCCGCAUGGCGUGUUCCCUCUUCAAGGCGCCUUGCUGCUUAUUAUUAUGUAAGAGUUCACUUUCCAAGGUCGUCUCAGCACAUUUCAGCCAUUCAUGUUCUCCCAACUGGGUCAGAAGUGGUUCUGUCCCAGUUAAUUAAAAUAACACUCAUUUAAAAGAGCGGGAAUUAGAUAACAAUUCUUCUCACUUACCUUUCCCUAGGGCUUACACCUCUGGCGGAUUGCCCACAGCCGUUCUGGAGGAGAGGUACGCUUGUGGCCUCGGCAGAAGUGUGUCGAGCAGAUAAGGAUGCCAAGCAAGUUUCCGUUUCGUCACCCGAGGAAACACGGGACAAGAUGUCGCUCCAACAAUCAGGAUGAUCUGGAGAAGAAAAAGAAAACCAUGGAGGGGGAGACAUCACCAGUGGCACACAAUUAUUAUGUUAUUCCUCAUCACUCUGCUUCCAUGUGAUCUCUUUUGCGGGGACCUCCCCUGUUCAAGGCCAGAGGUAAGACAUAGGAGGCUAUUUAAAGGACAGGACGUUGCUGCAUGGAGCUGUUUUCUGGUUUGCAGCCUUUGGGCAAGAGUUGCCUAGAACUCAACUAUAACUUGUAGGCUGGGAAUGUGUCCUGUGGAGGCUCUUUAAUUAGCCUGGAGUAGCAGGAAGCUGUUGCCUGAACAGACCAGCUCAGGAUGGAGCUGCUUUUAGCUUGCCUGCUUGGUAUUGAAAAUAGGAAGAAUUAAUGCUUGGAAAGGUUGUUUUGGAUUAGAGCUUCCUGAGCUCUUCCCACCACCUAUUCCAGUCAGGAGUUGGCUGGGGGAUUUCAGGAGUUGCAGUCCAAAAACGGAAAUUUCCCAAAUUCUAGCAAGAAUUAAAACUGACCCCUAUGUUGUACUGUGGCCUUGACCCAUGCUUUUAGCCCCAUGUCCUGUUGCAAUGCAGUCCCCUCUCCCCAGACGCUUGAUGUUCAAGCUGCGUUCCGAAAAGGAAGAGACACUUGAGAUCAUAUUGGAAAUAUCUGGUGGCUACUGGAGAGCACCAAAGAAUUUCAGAAGAAGAUGAACCCAUGCUUUAUAGAUGACAGCAAAGCCUUUGACUGUGGAGAGCAUGGGAAAUUAUGGGCUGUUCUGAAAGAAAUAGGAGUGCCUCGUGUGUAACUUGCAUGAAUGCAGAACAUGUCAUAUAGAAAUCCAGACUAAAUUCAGAUGGAGGAAUGAAAAUAGGUGGAAGAAACAUCAGUACAGUGAUUUAAGAUAUACAGAUGACAGCAUCUUACUGGC